AGGGUUGUGUUCAUACCAAGCAUUUGAUUGCUCAUCUGCUUUGGAGAAAGUUGGGGCUUCCUGCUGCGAUUGUCUGAAAGGUCUUAAUUCUGAAAGAUGAAAGCCGCCACCAUAAUCCAUGUGCACCAGCUGUGAAAAGUGCAGGACAAACAUCUUCCUCCACCUGUGAGUCUUUUCCCACAUGUAGAUAAGCACUUCAGGAUGAACCAGGCUGAGAUGCACAGAUUCAACUCUGGCCCAAUCGUCAUCCCAACACCUCAUCUGCCCAUCAGUUUCGUUUAGUUUCUGUGUAUUUCAAAAGGUCUUAUAAACUUUAAAUGAGACUUUGUGUAAAGCAGGGGUUCCCAAACCUUUCAUUCCACAACCUUUUAAGCCCGGGAUACACUGCAGGAUUUUUGCAAUCCUAUGAGAUUAUUACCUUAUCACACUGUGCGUUCUGGAUCGUUUAAACUUGGGUACGACAAGCAUUUGGAAGACUGUACGAUGAAGACACCUAUUGAUUGGACGGCUGUGACACAUGUUAGCGCAACGUCAUCAGCCUACGCUAGUGGGUAACAAAUACAGGUCUGCAGGUUGUAGCAGCAAACACGUUGAUGUGCGUUGAUCAUGCUGAAUUUCUGAAUUUCUUUGGUCCCAAGACCAGGAAAACGUCAUCUUUGAACCUCUCUCACUUGUAUGACAUUGGACCAACGAUUAAGAGCCAUGAUCACAGAAAACUCCACAAUUGUUUUACAAUGGUAAUCUUACAUUUGGGACACUUAGUUCUUUUUUAUUUUCUGAAAAGUAAAUAUAAGUUUAUUUGCAAUACCAGAAUACCUUAUGGUAUUUCAGAGCCAUUGCUAAUAAUUAUUUGGGCAAGUUGUCAUCUAAUGCAAAACUCCUUUUCUUACAGUGCGACCCACAAUUGGGUCCUCACCCACAGUAUAAAAACCCCAGUGUAAGAGGAUCUUGUGUUGUAAUUAAAUAAAGUCACAUCUAAGUCUUGUGGUUUCUCAUUAUAUUCACAGUGUAAUUCGGUUCUUUCAGGGGUUACUACAUUACAGUGCUCUUAAAGUCUCAUGAUCAGCUCUGGGUCUUGUAAAGUAAUAUAAUGAGAUUGUGAUCAAUAGCUUUGCAGUAUUUUUGUUACACAUCAAAUUUAAUUUGGUAAACAAACUAGUCAAUAUAAUUCAUGCUGUGACUCUGGAUUACACCUGGUCAAAUUAAUAUGUGUAUUCACUUUUUGUAUAAGGUUUCUUCAUCUACUGUAUA